rnacentral:misc_RNA from 1 species
CGAAUGGGUCUGAAGACUCUUAAAACCUACCGUGCUCCCCUGCGUGGAAAACAGGAAAGCCCUCCGGGGCAUAGGAAAUCUGAGAAGUUGAGAACUGCGCCCCGGCGCAUGACUAAAACAAAAAAUUA